rnacentral:lncRNA from 1 species
GUGCCCCCAGUGCUGCUCAGGGCAGCCGGGCUGUUCCCCAGCAGCCGGUGCCAUGGGCUGGGAGGAUGCUGGGGGGGUUGUGCUGCCAUGCUGCUCCCCCCAAGCUUGGUGCCACUGCACAGGUCCAGCACGGCAGCGCCAAGCCAGCCCCGAGGCCAGACCCCAUGCUGCACCCCAUGGGGGUCUCGCUGCCCACCCAGCACGUGCGCAAGGAGCCCCCCGAGCACCCACUGGCUCCGUGCAUGGCAAAGCCCAUCCUGGCCACGAGCACUGCCUGGAGGGGGGCUGGGGGUGGGCUCUGCCUGGGGAAACUGAGGCAUCGGGGGGGGGGGAGGCUCAGCCUGGAGCCGCGGCGCAGCCCCCCCGGCGCUCUGCCUGCCCCCGCUCCCGUGGCUCCCUGCUGCUCCCCCGGCCCUGCGCGCUGCAGCUGGGGGUCCCGGCCGGCAUUAACCCACCCCUCUCUGGCUGCUCCAAGUCCCCCAGAGGACCUCCCCCACAGGCCCCAAGAGCACGCAUAACCCGGCCCGCCUCAGCAACGUCCCCAGCAGCAUCCUCCGGAAAAACUCCCCCGCCACCCGCAACGGGGGCCCCGAGGCCGACGCGCAGAUCCUGGAGCUCAACCAGCAGCUGAUGGAUCUGAAGCUGACAGUGGACGGGCUGGAGAAGGAGCGGGAUUUCUACUUCAGCAAGCUGCGGGACAUCGAGCUGAUCUGCCAGGAGCACGAGAACGAGAACAGCCCCAUCAUCACCGGCAUCGUCAGCGUCCUCUACGCCACGGAGGUGAGCACGGAGCACGCGUUGCCUGUCCGGCUGCUGGCACACCCAGCCCCGGAGCUCUCUGGGCUUUCCCUGGGCCAAAAUCCCCCUUCCCCAGCGUCCAGCCUC